rnacentral:rRNA from 1 species
CCUACGUGCUGCAGCAGUGGGGAAUAUUGGACAAUGGGCGAAAGCCUGAUCCAGCCAUGCCGCGUGUGUGAAGAAGGCCUUCGGGUUGUAAAGCACUUUCAGUGGGGAAGAAAGCCUUGGGGCUAAUACCCUCGAGGAAGGACAUCACCCACAGAAGAAGCACCGGCUAACUCCGUGCCAGCAGCCGCGGUAAUACGGAGGGUGCGAGCGUUAAUCGGAAUUACUGGGCGUAAAGCGCGCGUAGGCGGUCUGAUAAGCCGGUUGUGAAAGCCCCGGGCUCAACCUGGGAACGGCAUCCGGAACUGUCAGGCUAGAGUGCAGGAGAGGAAGGUAGAAUUCCCGGUGUAGCGGUGAAAUGCGUAGAGAUCGGGAGGAAUACCAGUGGCGAAGGCGGCCUUCUGGACUGACACUGACGCUGAGGUGCGAAAGCGUGGGUAGCAAACAGGAUUAGAUACCCAGUAGUC